rnacentral:rRNA from 1 species
UCAGAAACGUUAAAGGAAGUUAGACGGGGCCCGCGACAAGCGGAGGAGCAUGUGGUUUAAUUCGAUGAUACGCGAGGAACCUUACCUGGGCUCGAACGUAAGAUGACUGUAGGUGAAAGCUUACAUCUCUUCGGAGCAUUUUACGAGGUGCUGCAUGGUUGUCGUCAGCUCGUGCCGUGAGGUGUCGGGUUAAGUCCCAUAACGAGCGCAACCCUACCUUUAGUUGCCAUCAGGUAAUGCUGGGGACUCUAAAGGAACUGCCUACGCAAGUAGUGAGGAAGGCGGGGAUGACGUCAAAUCAGCACGGCCCUUACGUCCAGGGCUACACACGUGCUACAAUGGCCGAUACAGAGGGCAGCUACCUGGUGACAGGAUGCAAAUCUCCAAAGUCGGUCUCAGUUCGGAUCGGAGUCUGCAACCCGACUCCGUGAAGUUGGAUUCGCUAGUAAUCGCGCAUCAGCCAUGGCGCGGUGAAUACGUUCCCGGGCCUU